CAUAUACAUACACACAAACAUAU
rnacentral:miRNA from 1 species